rnacentral:rRNA from 1 species
AUUGAACGCUGGCGGAAUGCUUUACACAUGCAAGUCGAACGGUAGAGGGGGCAACCCCUCGAGAGUGGCGAACGGGUGAGUAAUAUAUCGGAACGUGCCCAGUCGUGGGGGAUAACGUAGCGAAAGUUACGCUAAUACCGCAUACGAUCUACGGAUGAAAGCGGGGGAUCGCAAGACCUCGCGCGAUUGGAGCGGCCGAUAUCAGAUUAGGUAGUUGGUGGGGUAAAGGCUCACCAAGCCAACGAUCUGUAGCUGGUCUGAGAGGACGACCAGCCACACUGGAACUGAGACACGGUCCAGACUCCUACGGGAGGCAGCAGUGGGGAAUUUUGGACAAUGGACGCAAGUCUGAUCCAGCCAUUCCGCGUGCAGGAUGAAGGCCCUCGGGUUGUAAACUGCUUUUGUACGGAACGAAAGGUUUCUAUUAAUACUAGGAGCUCAUGACGGUACCGUAAGAAUAAGCACCGGCUAACUACGUG